AUUGAACGCUGGCGGCAGGCCUAACACAUGCAAGUCGAACGAGUGGCGGACGGGUGAGUAAUGUCUGGUAAACUGCCUGAUGGAGGGGGAUCACUACUGGAAACGGUAGCUAAUACCGCAUACCCUCGGAUGUGCCCAGAUGGGAUUAGCUAGUAGGUGGGGUAAAGGCUCACCUAGGCGACGAUCCCUAGCUGGUCUGAGAGGAUGACCAGCCAAACGGGAAGUGAGACAGGGUGCAGAAUCCUAAGGGAGGCAGCAGUGGGGAAUAUUGCACAAGGGGCGCAAGCCGGAUGCAGCCAUGCCGCGUGUAUGAAGAAGGCCGUCGGGUUGUAAAGUACUUUCAGCGGGGAGGCGUUACCCGCAGAAGAAGCACCGGCUAACUCCGUGCCAGCAGCCGCGGUAAUAC
rnacentral:rRNA from 1 species